AGAGUUUGAUCCUGGCUCAGGAUGAACGCUGGCGGCGUGCUUAACACAUGCAAGUCGAACGAUUGAAGCUGGAGCUUGCUCCGGCCGAUUUAGUGGCGGACGGGUGAGUAACGCGUGGGUAACCUGCCUCAUACAGGGGGAUAGCAGUUGGAAACGACUGGUAAAACCGCAUAAGCGCACGGUAUCGCAUGACACAGUGUGAAAACACUCCGGUGGUAUGAGAUGGACCCGCGUCUGAUUAGCUAGUUGGUGAGGUAACGGCCCACCAAGGCGACGAUCAGUAGCCGGCCUGAGAGGGUGAACGGCCACAUUGGGACUGAGACACGGCCCAAACUCCUACGGGAGGCAGCAGUGGGGAAUAUUGCACAAUGGGGGAAACCCUGAUGCAGCGACGCCGCGUGAGUGAUGAAGUAUUUCGGCAUGUAAAGCUCUAUCAGCAGGGAAGAUAAUGACGGUACCUGACUAAGAAGCACCGGCUAAAUACGUGCCAGCAGCCGCGGUAAUACGUAUGGUGCAAGCGUUAUCCGGAUUUACUGGGUGUAAAGGGUGCGUAGGUGGCAAGGCAAGUCUGAAGUGAAAAUCCGGGGCUCAACCCCGGAACUGCUUUGGAAACUGUUUAGCUGGAGUACAGGAGAGGUAAGUGGAAUUCCUAGUGUAGCGGUGAAAUGCGUAGAUAUUAGGAGGAACACCAGUGGCGAAGGCGACUUACUGGACUGCUACUGACACUGAGGCACGAAAGCGCGGGUAUCGAACAGGAUUAGAUACCCUGGUAGUCCGCACGGUAAACGAUGGAUGCCCGCUGUUGGUCUGAACAGGUCAGCGGCCAAGCGAAAGCAUUAAGCAUCCCACCUGGGGAGUACGCCGGCAACGGUGAAACUCAAAGGAAUUGACGGGGGCCCGCACAAGCGGAGGAACAUGUGGUUUAAUUCGAUGAUACGCGAGGAACCUUACCCGGGCUUGAAUUGCAGAGGAAGGAUUUGGAGACAAUGACGCCCUUCGGGGUCUCUGUGAAGGUGCUGCAUGGUUGUCGUCAGCUCGUGCCGUGAGGUGUCGGCUUAAGUGCCAUAACGAGCGCAACCCCUCUCCUUAGUUGCCAUCAGGUUAAGCUGGGCACUCUGGGGACACUGCCACCGUAAGGUGUGAGGAAGGUGGGGAUGACGUCAAAUCAGCACGGCCCUUACGUCCGGGGCUACACACGUGUUACAAUGGCAGGUACAGAGAGACGGUUGUACGUAAGUACGAUCAAAUCCUUAAAGCCUGUCUCAGUUCGGACUGGGGUCUGCAACCCGACCCCACGAAGCUGGAUUCGCUAGUAAUCGCGCAUCAGCCAUGGCGCGGUGAAUACGUUCCCGGGCCUUGUACACACCGCCCGUCAAGCCAUGAAAGCCGGGGGCGCCUAAAGUCCGUGACCGUAAGGAGCGGCCUAGGGCGAAACUGGUAAUUGGGGCUAAGUCGUAACAAGGUA
rnacentral:rRNA from 1 species